rnacentral:rRNA from 1 species
UCAGAAGUGCGAAUGCUGACAUAAGUAACGAUAAAGCGGGUGAAAAGCCCGCUCGCCGGAAGACCAAGGGUUCCUGUCCAACGUUAAUCGGGGCAGGGUGAGUCGACCCCUAAGGCGAGGCCGAAAGGCGUAGUCGAUGGGAAACAGGUUAAUAUUCCUGUACUUGGUGUUACUGCGAAGGGGGGACGGAGAAGGCUAUGUUGGCCGGGCGACGGUUGUCCCGGUUUAAGCGUGUAGGCUGGUUUUCCAGGCAAAUCCGGAAAAUCAAGGCCGAGGCGUGAUGACGAGGCACUACGGUGCUGAAGCAACAAAUGCCCUGCUUCCAGGAAAAGCCUCUAAGCAUCAGGUAACAUCAAAUCGUACCCCAAACCGACACAGGUGGUCAGGUAGAGAAUACCAAGGCGCUUGAGAGAACUCGGGUGAAGGAACUAGGCAAAAUGGUGCCGUAACUUCGGGAGAAGGCACGCUGAUACGUAGGUGAAGCGACUUGCUCGUGGAGCUGAAAUCAGUCGAAGAUACCAGCUGGCUGCAACUGUUUAUUAAAAACACAGCACUGUGCA